CAGUGCCGUUGAUACUGUAGAGCUAGGAUUAGGUUGCUGUGGGCGGAAUGUGUGGUGUAGCGGUGAAAUGCUUAGAGAUCACACAGAAUAUCGAUUGCGAAGGCAGCUCACAAAGCCCUAAAUUGACGCUGAGGCACGAUAGUGUGGGGAUCGAACAGGAUUAGAUACCCUCGUAGUACACACUGUGAACGAUGAUAACUCGCUGCCGGCGAUACACAGUCGGUGGCCAAGCGAAAGCGAUAAGUUAUCCACCUGGGGAGUACGACCGCAAGGUUGAAACUCAAAGGAAUUGACGGGGGCCCGCACAAGCGGAGGAACAUGUGGUUUAAUUCGAUGAUACGCGAGGAACCUUACCCGGGCUCGAACGGUGCAUGAAUAUACAAGAGAUUGUAUAGUCCUUCGGGACAUGUAUCGAGGUGCUGCAUGGUUGUCGUCAGCUCGUGCCGUGAGGUGUCGGCUUAAGUGCCAUAACGAGCGCAACCCUUGUCAUUAGUUACCAUCAGGUCAAGCUGGGGACUUUAAUGAGACUGCCACCGUAAGGUGUGAGGAAGGGGGGGAUGACGUCAAAUCAGCACGGCCCUUAU
rnacentral:rRNA from 1 species